UAUACAACUCUUAACGGUGGGAUA
rnacentral:rRNA from 1 species